UUGGAGAUUCGAAAUUCGAAAUCGAAUUUUGAAUCGGUUGUUGGAUGGUUGGAAUUGGUUGGGAAUUCGAAAUUCGAAAUCCAAUUUUAAAUCGGUUGUUGGAUGGUUGGAGGAUUUUUGGGAAUUGGUUAGGGAUUCGAAAUUCGAAAUCGAAUUUUGAAUCGGUUGUUGGAGGAUAUUUUGGAAAUUGGUUAGAAAUUCGAAAUUCGAAAUUGAAUUUUGAAUGGGUUGUUGGAUGGUUAGGUAUUCAAAAUUCGAAUGAGAGAUAUUUUGGGUGUUGGUUCGAAAUUCGAAAUCGAAUUUCGAAUCGAAUUUGAAUAUGGUAUUCGAGAUUGAAUUUUUAAAUGUGGGUAAAAAUGUGGGCCGUUAUUUCAUGAAUUGGGCUGAAAUUGGGCCCACUUUGAUGAAACUUGUUGGGCACGAAUAUUCAUUGGGCUGAGAUGAGGCCCGAAUUUUUGUAUAGGCCUAAAAUCUUACAGGGCUUUUAUGAGGCCCAUUAAUUCACAUUUAUGAAUGGGCCUAUUGUGGAUUAAAAUCAUAAUUAUUGGCCCCAAGAUUUCUCGGUCAACAUGAGACCUUUUGGGAUUGUAUGAAUCCGAAUUUAAUCGGUUUUAAUUACUUUACCCAAUUUUUUUUUCACUUCAAACAAAUUACCCCCCACUUUUUCGACGUAAGAGUUUCGCGCGUCGAAAAGGUGCUCCUCUUUUCAUUCAUUUUUUUUUUUGUUCCUUUUUUUGGAUUUGGUUCCCUUCUUUGACCGUACUUUUUUCUUCUUUUUUUUUACUCGGUCCCCCACAUAGACCGUACCGGUUUUUUUUUUUUUUUUUAUCCUCUNNNNNNNNNNNNNNNNNNNNNNNNNNNNNNNNNAACCAAAACCGGAACAACGUUAGACUACUCAGUUGAGCCCUAAUAGNGAGUUUCGCGCGUCGAAAAGGUGCUCCUCUUUUCAUUCAUUUUUUUUUUUGUUCCUUUUUUUGGAUUUGGUUCCCUUCUUUGACCGUACUUUUUUCUUCUUUUUUUUUACUCGGUCCCCCACAUAGACCGUACCGGUUUUUUUUUUUUUUUUUUUUUAAUAUCAUCCCCGCACCAUAUGCAUUCAAUUUGAUUGCUCGAUUGCUUAGUUUAACGACAUGACGGUCAAUAUAAAAAUGCUCAGUGUAAUGACAUGGCGGUCGAUAUAAAUGUGCUCAGUUUGGUGACACAGCGGUCGAUAUAAAUGUGCUCAGUUUGGUGACAUGGUGGCAGAUAUAAAAGUGCUCAGUUUAGUGACGUGGCGGUCUAUUGGAUAUGGAUUGCUCAGUUUAAUGACGUGGCGGUUAAUUGGAUAUUUGCUGCUCAGUUUAACGACAUGGCGGUCUAUUGGAUAUUUGUUGCUCAAUUUAACGACAUGGCAGUCGAUAUAAAAGUGCUCAGUUUAAUGACAUGGCGGUCUAUUGGAUAUAAAUGUGCUCAGUUUGGUGACAUGGCGGUCGAUAUAAAUGUGCUCAGUUUGGUGACAUGGCGGCAGAUAUAAAAGUGCUCAGUUUAGUGACGUGGCGGUCUAGUGGAUAUGGAUUGCUCAGUUUAACGACGUGACGGUCAAUUGGAUAUUUGUUGCUCAGUUUAAUGACAUAGCGGUCUAUUGAAUAUUUGUUGCUCAGUUUAAUGACAUGACGGUGAUAUAAAAGUGCUCAGUUUAGUGACAUGACGGUCUAUUGGAUAUGGAUUGCUCAGUUUAACGACGUAGCGGCCGAUUGGAUAUGGGUUGCUCAGUUUAACGACAUGGCGGUCGAUUGGAUAUGGGUUGCUCAGUUUAACGACAUGGCGGUCGAUUGUAUAUGGGUUGCUCAGUUUAACAAUAUGACGGUCGAUUGGAUAUGGGUUGCUCAGUUUAACGACAUGGCGGUCAAUUUGAUAUGGGUUGCUCAGUUUAACGACAUGGCGGUCGAUUGGAUGUUAGUGAAUAUGGAUUUAUUUUGUCUUCGAGAAGCAAUCGAAAUUGCCGCGCUAAUCGACCCUAAGGUGAGUUAGCAUUCCGUCAUUGGCAAAACAGAUUUUUGGGUAGUCUGGUGCCCAUAUGGGUUUUCACCAAAUGCCUUCCCCUAACUUUUGCCUGUGAGCCUCGAAAGGUUUGCUCACAGCGGGAAUCCCAAUUUUGCCUGUGGGGUUAUACCACAGUCGGGGACUUUUUGUAAUUUUACCCUUGAAGUCUGAUGUGGACAAUCAAGUCUGCUGGUGGCUCAUAUUUUACCCAUAUUGUCUAAAAAAUUUAGACAACAUGUCAUCCACCUCUCUUUUUUUUGUAUAAGGAAAUAUGUAUUUUUUUAUUUAUUUUGCCUCGAGAAGCAAUCAAAAUUGCCACGCAUAACCGACCUUAAGGUGAGUUAGCAUUCCGUCGUAGGCAAAAUAUAUUUUGCGUAAUAGGGAAUAUAGAUUAUUUUUUAUUUAUUUUGGCUCGAGAAGCAAUCGAAAUUGCUCCGCAUAACCGACCCUUAGGUGAGUUAGCAUUCCGUCAUAGGCAAAAUAUAUUUUGGGUAAUAGGGAAUAUGGAUUAUUUUUUAUUUAUUUUGCUUCGAGAAGCAAUCGAAAUUGUUGCGCAUAACCGAUCCUAAGGUGAGUUAGCAUUCCAUCAUAGGCAAAAUAUAUCUUGGGUAGUUUGGCGCCCAUAUGGGUUUUCACCAGGUACCUUCCCUUACCUUUUGCCUGUGAGCCUCGGAAGAUUGAGACUUUUUUGCAAUUUUACCCUUGAAGUCUGAUGUGGACAAUCAAGUCCGCUGGUGGCUCAUAUUUUACCCAUAUUGUCUAAAAAAUUUAGACAAUAUGUCGUCCACCUCUAUUUUUUUUUGUAUAAGAAAAUAUGUAUUUUUUUAUUUAUUUUGCCUCGAGAAGCAAUUGAAAUUGCCACGCAUAACCGACCCUAAGGUGAGUUAGCAUUCCGUCAUAGGCAAAAUAUAUUUUGGGUAAUCGGGGAUAUGGAUUAUUUUUUAUUUAUUUUGGCUCGAGAAGCAAUCAAAAUUGCUCCGCAUAACCGACCCUAAGGUGAGUUAGCAUUCCGUCAUAGGCAAAAUAUAUUUUGGGUAAUAGGGAAUAUGGAUUAUUUUUUAUUUAUUUUGCCUCGAGAAGCAAUCGAAAUUACUGCGCAUAACCGACCCUAAGGUGAGUUAGCAUUCCGUCAUAGGCAAAAUAUAUCUUGGGUAGUCUGGCACCUAUAUGGGUUUUCACCAGGUACCUUUCCCUAUCUUUUGCCUGUGAGCCUCGAAAGGUUUUCUCACAGCGGGGAUCCCGAUUUUGCCUGUGGGGUUAUACCACAGCCGGGGUCUUUUUUGCAACUUUACCCUUGAAGUCCGAUGUGGACAAUCAAGUCCGCUGGUGGCUCAUAUUUUACCCAUAUUAUCUAAAAAAAUUAGAUAACAUGUCCUCCACCUCUUUUUUUUUGUAUCAGAAAAUAUGUAUUUUUUUUAUUUAUUUUGUCUCGAGAAGCAAUCGAAAUUGUCACACAUAACCAACCCUAAGGUGAGUUAGCAUAUUCCGUCAGAGGCAAAAUAUAUUUUGGGUAAUAGGAAAUAUGGAUUAUUUUUAUUUAUUUUGCCUCGAGAAGCAAUCGAAAUUGCUGCGCAUAGCAUUCCGUUAUAGGCAAAAUAUAUUUUGGGUACUCUGGUGCCCGAAUGGGUUUUCACCAGAUAUCUUCCCCUAACUUUUGCAUGUGAACCUCAAAAGGUUUUCUCACAGCGGGGAUCCCAAUUUUGCCUGUAGAGUUAUACCACAGCCAAAAUUUUUUUACAAUUUUACCCUUGAAGUCCGAUGUGGACAAUCAAGUCCGCUGGUGGCUCAUAUUUUACCCAUAUUAUCUAAAAAAAUUUAGACAACAUGUCCUCCACCUUUUUUUUUUUUUUUUAGAUCAAUUAAGAAGUGAUAUGUCUUUCAACUGUAUGGUUUAAUGAGGAUGGCCUUACUAUGCAUGUUAGUCUCAUUUUGUCGACUAUAUUUGCUUAGUUUAACGACAUGGCGGUCAAUUGGAUCAUUUGGGGCUCUUGAACGUUAUUGUCCUUGCCCCCAGCAACCUUUCCUUUAUGGAGUUGGCGGCGGUUAUUCUUUUUAAAGGACGCUCUCGUUGGAGGAAUGGUGGUUGUAGUAUCAUUAGAAAGCGCCAGCCUAUCGAAUACUGAUGCUUUCUGCACUCUGCCAUUUGGGAAUAUCAGUCUUCCCUCAGACUCCAUCCUCUUGGAUGCAGGUUGGUAAGUGAAUCGUUCGCCUAUGGGUCGGUGAGGAGGGUUGGGGAUGACCAUAUUGGGUCGUUUUCCUCGAGAUGGCAGUCAAGGAAUGACAACAUUUGAUACAUCCUGUGAAGAGGCAGCGGGAGUGGUCAUGGCCCCAGUAGCAGCAAGAAUUUGAGCCAUGACAGCAGCUCGAACAUCUUCCGAAAUGGUGCCAAAUUGGAUUGAGGCACCUGCAGUUUCGAAUGUCAGGAUGGACGUGGGCAAGCAGACUCACGAACCCGCCUUCAAUAUUAUUGAGUUUGUUGAUACAACGACAACGUUCUUUGAUGUUGGUGCCAUUUCCUUGUGGAAAAAGGUAGAAGCUAGAACCCCUUCUUUUUUUUUUUUAAGGUCUCGAAGAUGGAAGGAGAAGCCAUGUCCCACUGGGCGUGCCAUUUUGUCUGCCACCACGAAUGACACACCUCGCACGGUCGAUGAUUUUUGGCCGUGUGGUGUAGUAUUCAUGAUUCAGAUAAGUAUUUAUAUGUAUAUGGGUAUCAGGUAUUGCAAGUCCAUGGCUUCAAAUAGAUGCAAGCAUCUAUUGUUAAUUACCCCUGUGGCAUUGGGGCACCUUCGAUUAAGAGACCUUUAUAGAUAGAAUGCGAUGAAUCGUGUCCUGAUUGUUUGAUUGAUUGAAUCCUAAGUAUAUGUAUUAGAAUUCAGUUGAAUUUGAGAUUGACAAGGUCCUAAGUAUAUGUGUUAAGACCUAGUCGAUGUUAAACUCUUAAGUAUAUGUAUUAGAGUCUAAUUGGCUCUAAGUAUAUGUCUUAGAGUCCGAUUAUAUUUGGCUUCACCUUAGUUGUAUGUUCUGAGGUGAAGAUGUGACCAAACCCCAAGUAUAUGUAUUGAGGUAAGUCGAAUUUGAUAUUACUCGAAGGUGGAUAGUGGCUAAUUCCUGAGUGUAUGUGUCAGGAUUAACCGAGUUUGAUAUAUUAUUUUUACUCUAGUUAUAUGUUCUAGAGUGAGGAUCUAACUAAGCCCUAAGGUAUUGCGUUAGGGUUCGUCGGAUUUGAUUUGCAUAAGCUCUAAGUAUAUGUAUUAGAGCUCGAUCAGGUAUGGAUUUCACUCUAGGUAGAUAUACUAGAGUAAAAGGCUGACUAGACCCAAAGUGUAUGUGUUGAGACUAGUCGAGCUUGGUUUGACUUCCACUCUAGGUAUAUGUGCUAGAGUAAAAGGUUGACUAGACCUUAAAGGAUAUGUGUUUGGUUCACGAACUUGGAAAAGCUUUAUGAACUUGGUUCAUGGUUUAUAGGAUUUGGUUCAUGAACUUGGGUAUGGUUCGUAGCGUUUAGUUCACGAACUUGAUUCAUGGAUUAUGGGAUGUGGGUAUGGUUCGUGGUGUUUGGUUCACGAACUUGGUUAUGGGACUUGGGUAUGGUUCAUGAACUUGGUUUAUGAUUCAUGAACUUGGUUUAUGGUUUAUGGUCCAUAAGGUUUGGUAUAUGGUUCAUGAACUUGGUUUAUGGUUUAUGAAGUUGGGUAUAUUGGAUAUGGUUCAUGAACUUGGAUAUGGUUCAUGGGUGAGAUUUAUGAACUUGGCUCAUGAAUCUUGGUUUAUGGACUUGAUUCAUGAUUCAUGAACUUGGUUUAUGGUUUAUGAAGUUGGGUAUAUGGGAUUUGGUUCAUGAACUUGGAUAUGGUUCAUGGACUUGGUUCAUGGUUCAUGAACUUGGUUUAUUUUGGUUCAUGGGCCUUGAUUCAUGAACUUGGGUUAUGAUCCGUGGUGUUUGGUUCACGAACUUGGGUAAGAUUCAUGCAUGUGGUUCGUGCUUCAGGAACUUGGUUUAUGAGUUUUGGUUCAUGAGACUUGAUUCAUGAACUUGGAUAUAGGAUUUGGGAUUUGGUUCACGAACUUAGGUAUGGUUUAGGUUCAUGAGCCUAAGUUGGAAGUUGGAUUUGGNNNNNNNNNNNNNNNNNNNNNNNNNNNNNNNNNNNNNNNNNNNNNNNNNNNNNNNNNNNNNNNNNNNNNNNNNNNNNNNNNNNNNNNNNNNNNNNNNNNNNNNNNNNNNNNNNNNNNNNNNNNNNNNNNNNNNNNNNNNNNNNNNNNNNNNNNNNNNNNNNNNNNNNNNNNNNNNNNNNNNNNNNNNNNNNNNNNNNNNNNNNNNNNNNNNNNNNNNNNNNNNNNNNNNNNNNNNNNNNNNNNNNNNNNNNNNNNNNNNNNNNNNNNNNNNNNNNNNNNNNNNNNNNNNNNNNNNNNNNNNAAUCAAAACGGUGGAUAUCUCUGCGGACCCCAAAUCAAAUUGGAAAAUCAAUAUCAAAUCGAAAUCAACAGGGAUUUCUAGACCAAAUCAAUUAAAAUUCAAAAUGAGAAUUUUCGGACCCCCAAAUCCAAAUCGAGAUCAAAGAAGGGAAUUUCUCGUACCCCAAAUAAACAAAAUCAAAAGGGAUUUCUUCGGAUCCGAAUCAAGUUGCAAAAUCAAAAGAGAAUUGUCUUGAACCCGAAAUAGAAUUGAAAAGAAAAUCAAGUCCACAUACAAACCAAAUCCGAAUCAAGUUCACAUACGAAACCAAAUCGAAUCAAGUCCAACAUCCAAACCAAAUUCAAAUCCAGUCCACAUAAAAAUCAAACCCAAAGUCCAAAUAAACCCAAACCAUCCACAAAUAAAAUCCAAACCCAACCCAAUCCAAACCCAAAUCCACAAAUAAACCCAAACCCAAACCAAAUCAAAUCCAACCCAAACCAAAACAAAACCAAAAUCCAAACCGAAACCCGAACCCAAAACCAAAACCAACCCAACCCAAAUCAAGUACACAAUCCAAUCCAACCAAACCAAAAUUAUUUUUAGGUUCGGGUUUCAGGUUUAUUUGGGUUUGGUAAGGUGUUUAUUUUAGGUUUGGGUUGGUGGACUGGAUUUGAAUUUGGUUUGGAUGUGGACUUGAUUCGGAUUUGGUUUCGUAUGUGAACUUGAUUCGGAUUUGGUUUGUAUGUGGACUUGAUUUUCUUUUCAAUUCUAUUUCGGGUUCGAGACAAUUCUCUUUUGAUUUUGCAACUUGAUUCGGAUCCGAAGAAAUCCCUUUUUGAUUUUGGUUUGAUUUGGGGUACGAAGAAAUUCCCUUUUGAUCUCGAUUUGGAUUUGGGGUCCGAAAAAUCUCCAUUUUGAUUUUUCAAUUUGAUUUGGGGUCUGAAGAAAUCCCUGUUUGAUUUCGAUUUGGAUUUGAUUUUCCAAUUUGAUUUGGGGUCCGAAGAAAUCCCCGUUUGAUUCUCCAAUUGGAUUUGAUUUGGGGUCCGAAGAAAUCCCCGUUUGAUUCUCCAAUUUAGAUUUGAUUUUCCAAUUUGAUUUGGGAUCUGAAGGAAUCCCCGUUUGAUCUUGAUUUGGGGUCCAAAGAAAUCCCCGUUUUAAUUUUGAUUUGGGGUCCGAAGAAAUUCCCAUUUGGUUCUAAUUUGGGGUCCGAAGAAAUUCCCGUUUAGAUUCCAAUUUAGGGUCCGAAGAAACCCCCGUUUUAAUUUUGAUUUGGGGUCCGAAGAAACGGAGAAUCAAAGAUUCCCCUCCCCUCUUCUUGCGAUGCUGCAGAUGACAUCGACGAAGUUGAUAACGGUGGAGUGGAUCUCUUUGGCCAUCGAAUUUGAUUUGACAUUUUCGAAGAAAUAUUGAAGGGUCCGAAGAAAUAGGGAAUCAAAGAUCCCCUCUCCUCUUCUUUCGAAAGUAUCAAACCAGCGAUGUUAGUGUCACGCCCCGGGACCCAGCGGAAGCCCGCCGGGCGCGUGUCCAGACCCGCCGUACGUCUAAAACAUACAAGGCGUCUAAAAAUAAAGUGGUAAAUAAAACAACACGAGAAGGCAUCUAGGAGUAUCAGAGCAAAGUAACUACGAAAUGCUACAACAAGAAGAAGAUCAUAAAACUGAUAAUCCGCUAAGUAAAACAUAAGAUAAUACAAAAGGAGUCCCAAAGCAAGUACAAAUCUGAAUACAAGGUGGUCUCUCUAUACAUGGUGCCAAAAACUCUCCCUCUCUGCUAAUCACAAACAAAAGAAGGAGUAAGCCACUAUUGCAAAACGGAUUCCUCUUCCCGAGCUAGUCUACGGCGACACCUUGCCGCGAUCCGUGUCCUCCGCGGGCCAGUGCCGGAUGGCUCUGAAAGAAACAUAGAAACAUUGAGGCGUGAGGAACUGUUAAAUAUAGUUGCCGAGGGGCAAUUACUGACUUCAGUGACAUGCCGCCACUAGGCCCGAAACUACACAAAGUGGGUCAGUGAACAGUAUAAGCCAAAGUGAUAAGAACAACUAGGAAAUAAAUAUGAAUACUAUUUCAACCAUGAUAUCUCUACUUAGCAUGAUUUGCAUAAGUAAGAACGGCAAUUACUACAAGUAUGUGCACAAGAGUAUCCAACAUGCAAAUGUAUAAGUACGCAACUAAACCAAUGUCCACAAUGUAAAUAGUAAAGAUGUCAUUGUUUACUAUUCUAGUCAAUGUCCACUUGUCACUUUAAUUGUUUACAGUUCAACUUUGAUAAGACCCACCCGAAGGCUGUCUGGCAUAAGACCCACCCGAAGGUUGUCUGGCUUUACCGUGCCUAAUGGCCCCGUGGUAGUCAACAUACCCACCAUAGGAAUGAGCCUUUCCCACGGCAAUCCACUUCGGCGCCCAAUCCCGCACGGCGAUCGUAUCGUGAUGGCCAACUCCGGAGUGCCGGCUUGUAGGGAGCGACCCUCACAAGCAUGUGCGAAUGAGCACAAUGGCAAGCAUGCGUAUCAGUCCGUCUCAAGCAACAAGUCCUCAUGUCUAAAACAUGAAAUAUAUCGAAUGUCGUAAAGGCCUAUCACUAUGUCGUCAUGUCUCUAACAUGGAAUAUAGUCGAUGUCCAAUGGCCUAUCACUAUGUCUUUAUGUUGCAUUUUCAUAGUUUACUAGUUUCAAGUGCCCCUUUAUGACACUAUUGUUCAAUGAGUCUAAGCAUGGCAUCUAAGUUCAUGAAUACAUAAUUCUACUCAUUUCAAACAUAGGAGACAUGUUCUCAACUUGCAAGGUCAACUACCCUUCACAAUGCAUGCAAUCUACACAUAUAGCUCUACUAUAUAGAGUGCAAUUUCAUGACACAUAAGGCAUGCAUUUCAAGUGUUCUAAAAUUCACAUAAAUCAUAUUUAACAUGGAUUUGCAUUCAAAAAUACUUUACGACAAGUAUAGAAACAUAGGGGGCUAUUUUGUCCCGUGUUCAUGAAGCCAAAUCCACCGAAGAUACCGAAACCCUUCGUAAGCUUCGACGAAGGUGUCGACUAGUCUCCUAGCACCCUAAAGAUGUAGGAACAAGGGUCAAACAAAACUUAUGAUCAAACCUACGCUCAAUCAAUAAGCAACAUAGGCUAAGGUGGAGAAAAACUCACAUAGGUGAAGAAAUCCUCUCUCAAACUCUAAAUGGGAGUUAGAGUUCUUCAAAUCCAACCUAAAUAAAGGUUUCAAACUCAUCAAUUAGGUUUCAAGGCCCUCAAAACUAAAAAGCCCCAAAUCUAACCCUAGAAUCCCAAUCUAGGAUUUCAUCAAGCAAAAAGCUCCAAAACUAGGAUCUAGGGGAGAAGAACUAGUCACAUACUUCUAGGAAGCUCCAAACCAAGUCCAAGAUCCUCAAGGGUUAAGGGUUGGUCCACUACCAAGCUUCAAAAGCAAGCUCCAAGUCCCUCAAAGGUGAGAAAUGAGAGGGAAGGGUUGAUGCUCCAAGGCCUUCAAGCAAGCUCCUCUCCUUCUCCUCUAACUCCUUCUUCUCCUUCUCUUUUUCUUUCUAAAGUGGGUGUGAGGGAGAGGAAAUGAGGGUGGGAGAGAGAGGAGAGGCUCUAUAAGCCUUCAAAAGUAACAAAAUCCACUUAGGUCCCUCAAAAAUCCACUCUGUGCAUUGCCCGGUCUGGGCUGAUUUCGCGCUUAGGGACCGGUCUCUUCGACUUGGGACCGGUCUCUCAGCCUGCCCCGAAAAUCCAACGUUAGGGAAUCGGUCUCUCCCCGCACGGGACCGGUCUCUCCCCGUGCAGACGCGCUCGGGGACCGGUCUCGCCUACCAGGGACCAGUUGCCUUGCCAGCUGCCGCAACACUGAGCUGAGGGGACCGGUCUUUCAUAUCAGGGACCAGUCCCCGAGAGUGAAAACUCUCAGGACAAAGCCAAAACUCUAGAGAUCGAACUUUUAGGCCGGAAUACCAUCUACGGCCUUCCACCAAGUGUGGAAAAGUUCAGAGUACUCAUCAAACACUCAAACCUCGCAAUUUGCAAAGGUCCAGUGUGCUACAGUUAGGGUGGUCGCGGCAAUGUAGAUCACCCAUUCCAUCAUCAACAACUUCGAAUGGGGUAUUGAGAGGUCCGAAGAAAUAGGGAAUCAAAGAUUCCCCUCACUCUCCCAUCGAAGCCAUCUAGAUGGUAUGGAUAGUUACGAUCGCAGGACCAAAAAAGAAAAAAAAGAGCGGGAAGAAAAGAGAUUUUUUUUCUUCUUCUUCAUUUUUCGUCCUUUUUUUUCUUUACCUGUUGAUCAAAUGACGGAUUGGAUGAAUCAGCUCGACGAUUCCUCCACCUUUCCGCGGCUCGGCGAUCCUCCUCCUUUCCGCGGCUCGGCGAUAUCUCCUUUUUUUGAAUUUUUUGUAUGUCGGAACGAGUGUAGCAAUCUAUCUAUUUUUUUUGUUCUUUGUCUAUCGUAUCAUCUUCGUAAAAAAAAAUUCUCCCAUGUUUGAUUUCAGUUCUCGUAUCUAUAAUGGGAGGGGUGGUCAGAGAUAUUUUGAGGGAUUCGAAAUUCGAAUUUGAAUUUUGAAUAGGUUGUUAGAUAGUUGGAGGUUUUUUGGGAAUUGGUUGGAGAUUCGAAAUUCGUAAUCGAAUUUUGAAUCGGUUGUUGGAUGGUUGGAAUUGGUUGGGAAUUCGAAAUUCGAAAUCGAAUUUUAAAUCGGUUGUUGGAUGGUUGGAGGAUUUUUGGGAAUUGCUUAGGGAUUCGAAAUUCGAAAUCGAAUUUUGAAUCGGUUGUUGGAGGAUAUUUUGAAAAUUGGUUAGAAAUUCGAAAUUCGAAAUUGAAUUUUGAAUAGGUUGCUGGAUGGUUAGGUAUUCAAAAUUCGAAUGAGAGAUAUUUUGGGUGUUGGUUCGAAAUUCGAAAUCGAAUUUCGAAUCGAAUUUAAAUAUGGUAUUCGAGAUUGAAUUUUUAAAUGUGGGUAAAAAUGUGGGCCGUUAUUUCAUGAAUUGGGCUGAAAUUGGGCCCACUUUGAUGAAACUUGUUGGGUAGGAAUAUUCAUUGGGCUGAGAUGAGGCCCGAAUUUUUGUAUAGGCCUAAAAUCUUACAGAGCUUUUAUGAGGCCCAUUAAUUCACAUUUAUGAAUGGGCCUAUUGUGGAUUAAAAUCAUAAUUAUUGGCCCCAAGAUUUCUCGGUCAACAUGAGACCUAUUGGGAUUGUAUGAAUCCGAAUUUAAUCAGUUUUAAUUACUUUACCCCAAUUUUUUUUCACUCCAAACAGUACCUGAUGCUCGGCUUUUACCUGCUGACAAGUCAAACACUGAGCCACAAAUCUGCCAAUGUCUCUUUUCAUUCCAUUCCACCAGAACUGU
rnacentral:lncRNA from 1 species